rnacentral:rRNA from 1 species
GUGUCAGCAGCCGCGGUAAUACGUAGAAGGCGAACGUUAUCCGGAUUUACUGGGCGUAAAGCGGGUGUAGACGGUUUUCUAAGUCAGUUGUGAAAUCUCCCAACUCAAUUGGGAGACUGCAAUUGAUACUGGGGGACUUGAGGGCAGCAGAAGAAAGCAGAAUUCCCGGUGUAGCGGUGAAAUGCGUAGAUAUCGGGAGGAAUACCAGUGGCGAAGGCGGCUUUCUAGGCUGAUCCUGACGUUGAGGCCCGAAAGUGUGGGGAGCGAAACGGAUUAGAUACCCGUGUAGUCCACACCCUAAACGGUGAAUACUAGGUAUAGGGGGUAUCGACCCUCUCUGUGCCGAAGCUAACGCUUUAAGUAUUCCGCCUGGGGACUACGGCCACAAGGCUAAAACUCAAAGGAAUUGGCGGGG